GACGAACGCUGGCGGCGUGCCUAAUACAUGCAAGUUGAGCGCUGAAGGUUGGUACUUGUCCCGACUGGAUGAGCAGCGAACGGGUGAGUAACGCGUGGGGAAUCUGCCUUUGAGCGGGGGACAACAUUUGGAAACGAAUGCUAAUACCGCAUAAAAACUUUAAACACAAGUUUUAAGUUUGAAAGAUGCAAUUGCAUCACUCAAAGAUGAUCCCGCGUUGUAUUAGCUAGUUGGUGAGGUAAAGGCUCACCAAGGCGAUGAUACAUAGCCGACCUGAGAGGGUGAGCGGCCACAUUGGGACUGAGACACGGCCCAAACUCCUACGGGAGGCAGCAGUAGGGAAUCUUCGGCAAUGGACGAAAGUCUGACCGAGCAACGCCGCGUGAGUGAAGAAGGGUUUCGGAUCGUAAAACUCUGUUGGUAGAGAAGAACGUUGGUGAGAGUGGAAAGCUCAUCAAGUGACGGUAACUACCCAGAAAGGGACGGCUAACUACGUG
rnacentral:rRNA from 1 species